CUCAUUACCUGGCAGGAGAUACCAUGAUCAUGAAGGUGGUUCACCCAGAGCGAGGCUCAGCCAUUGCACUUCGGUUGUGCUGACCGUGCGAAUUCCCCAAAUGUGGGAAUCUCGUAACUGCGUAAUUUUGAUGGGGACUGCGUCCGCUCUCCCUGA